GCAUGUAGCUCAGUGGUAGAGCACUUGCCUACCAUGCACAAGGGCCUGGGUUCAAUCCCUAGCACUGCA
rnacentral:tRNA from 1 species